GGGGGGGGGGGGGGGGGGGGGGGGGGGGGGGGGGGCGGGGGGGGGGGCGGGGAGGGGGCUGCGCGGAUGUUAGGGGCGGGCGGGUGGGUGACACGUGGAUAACCUACCUAUAAGGCUGGGAUAACUUGGGGAAACCGGAGCUAAUACCGGAUGAUAUUUUGAACCGCAUGGGUCAAAAGUGAAAGACGGUCUUGCUGUCACUUAUAGAUGGAUCCGCGCUGCAUUAGCUAGUUGGUAAGGUAACGGCUUACCCAGGCAACGAUGCAUAGCCGACCUGAGAGGGUGAUCGGCCACUCUGGAACUGAGACACGGUCCAGACUCCUACGGGAGGCAGCAGUAGGGAAUCUUCCGCAAUGGGCGAAAGCCUGACGGAGCAACGCCGCGUGAGUGAUGAAGGUCUUCGGAUCGUAAAACUCUGUUAUUAGGGAAGAACAUAUGUGUAAGUAACUGUGCACAUCUUGACGGUACCUAAUCAGAAAGCCACGGCUAACUACGUG
rnacentral:rRNA from 1 species